CUUCGCUACCAAGUUUCGCAUUCCCCUCGGCGGCUCGGCCCGCCGCUCUGACUAGCCGGCGGCGCCGCAGAGACACCUCCAGCAGAUGCCACCGCAGAGACACCUCCAGCAGGCGCCGCUUGGACACGGUGAACUCAUCCUCCUCACGGUUCGCCGCUGCACUCUCCGACCAGGCCCUCACGCCCAGGGCGUCAGGGUGCAAGGAGGAGCAUGUGGCUGACCCUGCAUCUGCACAGACGCUGCAAGAACAGGAUGUCUUGCGCUUAAAGGAGUUGCUCGAACUACAAUAUCGAUUGAAUCAUACGAGCAAUUGUCCAUCACUGCCACUUCCUCGCCCUCUCCGCUGGACACCAUUGAGAUCUCACCAUGAUCAUGGCGCUGCCUUUCCUCGUCAUUCAUUUGGGCUCUGCAAGAGCUUGAUUGGAUCAUUGGGAUUCACAUUUCACACAAUUGAAACAUCUUCGAGAUCAUAGAGGAUAUUUGUGCUCAUAUCCUCAUUUGAGUGGACCAUUUCAAAACUUAGAUGAAGCUUACAGUGGUAAUAAUUGCUAUCGUCUUGACCAAUUGAGAUCCAACAAUGCCACAAAAGAUAAUCAAAUGAAGCAGUUAAAAGGCGAAUGGCUCUAAAUCUAUAUUUAGAUGUUUAUUGCAGUUUGAAGCUGAGAUUUCUGUACCUGGUAUUGGCAUGUUCUUCUGCGUUUACCGGUAAGCUGUAGUUCCAACCCCAACAAGGCUAGAGAAGCGAGGAUUGCAGAGUUGUGUCCUGCUUCCUCGGGUUGAGAAGCUGGAGAUGGUGGCUCAGGACGCAGCCAACUCGACUUGUACUCUGCUGUCACCUUCCCUGAUCAAGUGCUCAUCCCUAGGGCGUAGGGAAACAUCUGCAAAAGGCGAGACCUUUGCUAGUGGAGGUUUUGUUGAUUGACUGAAGUGGACAAGCUCAGUUGAUGUCUCUCCAGCUUCCAGGUUUUCUUGAUACUCCCUUUACUGGAAUGCAUGUUUUGAAAUCUGGGUGCAUUAAUUGGUUCACACAUUACAGUUUCGUUUCUGAUCCUGUUUAUCCUACUAUUACAUUAGCUUUUGGCAGCUGCUAGGAUGUUUAGUGCUGACAUAAUCCAUGCUUCUAAGUUUGUUGCUGAGUAUUUCAAUUUAGGGAGCUGAUAAUUAUAUCUCUGCCUAUGACUUUGAUAUCCAUGUAAAUUCAGUUACCUUCUGCUAACUAGUAAUGCUACAGGUCAUUCUCAGCCGACGUCCGCAUUGCCCAUAUUUGUUGAGUGUCUGUUCGUUUUGUUGGGUUAGCACUGCAUCUUGUUGGUCAACUUUUGGCAAGAUCCUGGUGAUGUAAUCGUUGAAGAGGCUGAAGCAUUCGAUGCAGUGGGCAGUGGCGUAGCCAGCGGGUAGGCCGGGUGGGCCAUGGCACAAUCAGAAAUUUCAGGAUUUACUUUUUACCCCCAUAUUAUUUGACUAUUUUGUUCCAUAUAAACAUCCAAUCGGCCCAUGAUCUGACAUGAGCAGCCCAGAAACAUCCAGCCGGCUCGGCACGAGAGGAGAGCGAGACCAGAGCCUCAGGCCUACCUCGCUCACACGCAUGCCACCGCUCCCUGCCUGCUGCCUCUGUGCUUCCCUGCCGGUUCCUCCUCCAGCCUCGUGCCCGCCGGCCGCCGCCCUCUUGCAGCUUGACUUCGGCCAGGCUCCAGCCUCCGCCGACCGCUGCCCUACUGCAGCUUGACUUCUUGCCCAGGCUCCAGGCUCCAGCCUCCCGCCGCUCGAUUCCUCCAGCCCCGGGCUCCAACCUUCUUCGUCCGCCACCCUCCGCUCGACUCCAGCCCCGGGCUCCAACCUUCUUCGUCCGCCGCCCUCCGCUCGACUCCAGCCCCGGGCUCCAACCUUCUUCGUCCGCCGCCCUCCGCUCGACUCCAGCCCCUAGGCUCGGUAGGAAUUAAUCAAUGCGGCCAUGCGAGCAACAUCAAUUAGCUCAGGAGAUUUUGUUUGACCAUCAUCUGUAUAGAAUUGUCUGGUGCCAAUUAGUUGUUGGUUUUGUUUGACCAUGAGUCUAUUGAUGUGCUUAACUAUUGUCUGUCUAUAUGAUGCUUAUUUCGGUUGUAUUUUCUGUUAUAAAUAGCAUUGUGAGUUUCUA